GGCCUCGUGGCCCAAUGGAUAAGGCGUGUGCCUCCUAAGCAUAAAAUUGCGGGUUCGACUCCCGCUGUGGCCC
rfam:Tritrichomonas foetus strain K scaffold_1279, whole genome shotgun sequence.